UAUAAUUAAAGCAAACCCUGUGAUCAAGGCUGAGAAGCUAGAUAAAAUCUAGAUUCAAUGGGAUGAGGUUUCAAUAAUCAAAGAAUGAUGAUCUUGCUCAUCUGUUAGAGGCUUCUUCUGAGAAGGCCACGUAUCUUAUCAGGUGUCCUUUAAUGUUAUAUAUGCUGGGGGCCCAUUAUCAGUUAUAGGACAUCUCUGCAGUAUGAAGAACUCUAUGUCGUGUGUUGGCGAGAACUUAUAUGUUGGC
rnacentral:lncRNA from 1 species